GAUGAACGCUAGCGGCAGGCCUAAUACAUGCAAGUCGAACGGUGUAGCAAUACACAGUGGCGCACGGGUGCGUAACACGUAUGCAACCUACCUAUCAUUGGGGGAUAGCCUUUGGAAACGGAGAUUAAUACCGCAUAAGACAGUAACAUGGCAUCAUGUAGCUGUUAAAGCUUUGGCGAUGAUAGAUGGGCAUGCGUCCAAUUAGUUAGUUGGUGAGGUAACGGCUCACCAAGACGAUGAUUGGUAGGGGAUCUGAGAGGAUAAUCCCCCAUACUGGCACUGAGAUACGGGCCAGACUCCUACGGGAGGCAGCAGUAGGGAAUAUUGGGCAACGGACGGAAGUCUGACCCAGCCAUGCCGCGUGCAGGAAGAAGGCGUUAUGCGUUGUAAACUGCCUUUUUAUAGGAAGAAGGAGACCUUGCGAGGUUUGGUGACGGUACUAUAAGAAUAAGCACCGGCUAACUCCGUGCCAGCCGCCGCCGUAAGAC
rnacentral:rRNA from 1 species